rnacentral:rRNA from 1 species
GGGACACGUGGUAUCCUGUCUGAAUAUGGGGGGACCAUCCUCCAAGGCUAAAUACUCCUGACUGACCGAUAGUGAACCAGUACCGUGAGGGAAAGGCGAAAAGAACCCCGGCGAGGGGAGUGAAAAAGAACCUGAAACCGUGUACGUACAAGCAGUGGGAGCCUCUUAAUGGGGUGACUGCGUACCUUUUGUAUAAUGGGUCAGCGACUUAUAUUCUGUAGCAAGGUUAACCGAAUAGGGGAGCCGAAGGGAAACCGAGUCUUAACUGGGCGUUAAGUUGCAGGGUAUAGACCCGAAACCCGGUGAUCUAGCCAUGGGCAGGUUGAAGGUUGGGUAACACUAACUGGAGGACCGAACCGACUAAUGUUGAAAAAUUAGCGGAUGACUUGUGGCUGGGGGUGAAAGGCCAAUCAAACCGGGAGAUAGCUGGUUCUCCCCGAAAGCUAUUUAGGUAGCGCCUCGUGAAUUCAUCUCCGGGGGUAGAGCACUGUUUCGGCAAGGGGGUCAUCCCGACUUACCAACCCGAUGCAAACUGCGAAUACCGGAGAAUGUUAUCACGGGAGACACACGGCGGGUGCUAACGUCCGUCGUGAAGAGGGAAACAACCCAGACCGCCAGCUAAGGUCCCAAAGUCAUGGUUAAGUGGGAAACGAUGUGGGAAGGCCCAGACAGCCAGGAUGUUGGCUUAGAAGCAGCCAUCAUUUAAAGAAAGCGUAAUAGCUCACUGGUCGAGUCGGCCUGCGCGGAAGAUGUAACGGGGCUAAACCAUGCACCGAAGCUGCGGCAGCGACACUAUGUGUUGUUGGGUAGGGGAGCGUUCUGUAAGCCUGUGAAGGUGUACUGUGAGGUAUGCUGGAGGUAUCAGAAGUGCGAAUGCUGACAUAAGUAACGAUAAAGCGGGUGAAAAGCCCGCUCGCCGGAAGACCAAGGGUUCCUGUCCAACGUUAAUCGGGGCAGGGUGAGUCGACCCCUAAGGCGAGGCCGAAAGGCGUAGUCGAUGGGAAACAGGUUAAUAUUCCUGUACUUGGUGUUACUGCGAAGGGGGGACGGAGAAGGCUAUGUUGGCCGGGCGACGGUUGUCCCGGUUUAAGCGUGUAGGCUGGUUUUCCAGGCAAAUCCGGAAAAUCAAGGCUGAGGCGUGAUGACGAGGCACUACGGUGCUGAAGCGACAAAUGCCCUGCUUCCAGGAAAAGCCUCUAAGCAUC